AGCAUUCUUCCAGGACAGAGCUCCUCCGGAGAAGGGCCAGAAGUUCUGGUUUCACCCAGCCGACAUCUCCCAGACUUGCUCCCAGGUUGGUCAUGUGUGUAGGGAGAUGCAGCCGCAUCGUGGGCCCCUGCUUGCUGGUGCUGGGCACACUCUCCGUGGUGGCCAGCAUCCUGCUGCUCUUUCCUGGCGGGGCCUGGCAGUAUGUGGUGGAUGGGCACAUCAGCAGGCGGGCAAAGAUCAUGCCAGGCGCCUGGGGAGGCGGCGUCAUGGUGCUGCUGGCAGCUACCCACAUCACUGCUGUGGGAUGGCGAUGCGCCUGCUGCUCCGACUGUGGCACCCGUCGGAACGCCUUCCUCUCCGUUGUCCUCUCCAAGCUGGCUCUCCUGGGCUCUGCCGCCUGCUUCUUCUUCUCGGGCCUGGGCCUAACCGAUGGCCCUCUCUGCCUCUACAAUGCCACUGAGCCCACCAAUGGCCUCAUUUGGGACUACCCCUUUGUGGACACACCUAGCAACAGGGGCUUGGCGCACUCCUACCUGUUCUACCCGAGCACCUGGGGCACCUGCAUGGAGCCGGUGGGCAUCGUGGCAUGGCACGUCACCUUCUUCUCCCUCCUGCUGCUCGUCAGUGCUGCCGAGAUAGUGCUAACCUUCCUCCAGAUCAUCAACGGCUGCGCUGGGUGCCUCUGCGGCUUCUGCGAGGGGAAGGAGGCAGGGUUCUCCCGUGUGCCUGAAGUGAGAGUGAGUGACAGAGUAUAGAAGUAGCCCUCAAAUGACCCCCAGCCUCCCCAUCCUGUGCAAGAGUCUCAUCGCCAAACUCGGCCGAUGCAAAGGGCUGCAGCAGUGGGAUGCUCUGGCUGCAGUGUGGGGGACUACGUCUUCUGGGAACUGCUCCACAGCUUGGGAAAUUUCAUGGGCUUCCCCUUCUUGUGCGGGUACUGGAGGGAGUAGAGGUAGGACGUGUACUGGAGCUCUGGCAUAACCAUUUUCUGGCAUUUGUUCAGAGUCUCAUUGUCUAAGUCUUGUUUGAGGUUAUAACCGAGGAUAUUUGCCGACCCUGACUGGAAAGGCAAGAGAGCCUUGUCCUUGAUGUGAGCCUUCACCACAGCCUCCUGGUCCAAGAGACAGGUCUCCAUGAGUUCCUUCUGUCUCAUUCGCAGGCCAUUUACCUCCUUCUCCAGCUCCUCAAGUCCUAUGGUCUCCUGAAUCCUCCUCCAGAAGCUCUGGUUGAAGUGCAGGUAGAGCUUCCAGUCCAGUGAGCACCACUUUUUUACCCUCUCCUUGCUUUCUGGGGUCAGGGCCUGGACAGUCUCAUUGCUUCUGGAAUUGAGCUUGAAGUAAAUCACAUCGUCUAAAUCCCAGCACAAAGUGUGUUUCAGGAGGAUCAUGGACUCGUCAAAGUAGUCUGCUAUCAAGAUCAGGUGGAAGUUCUCUUCGGUCUCAUCCAAGACAGACUGGAUAUAGUUUUCAUUGUCCUCUGCAUUGUUAUCAUAGCCAAAGUCAAACCACAUGUUAUUCUUGGCGUAGAUGUUUUUCCUGUAAUCCUCCUUAUGGUAAUAUUUCAGGGGUGACUCCAGGUAUUCAUUCACGUCCUUGGAUUUACUGAAGGCGGGGGCCACGUUCUUGUAGUAGACAUAGGAAGAUUCCAGCAGAGCAAUGGGGUUCCUCAGGAUGGAGAAGUAGAAGGUGUUCUUUGCCAUCACCUUGUGCACCUGUGUGUGAGGGAGAGGAAAAAGGGCUGUUAGGCCGGAGUAGAUUCUCAUGUGCCCGCAUUUCGAGCAUGUCCAGGUCCACCACUCAGCUUUGUGCCACCAAUAAAACUGCUGAGGGUUCCCUCAAUCCCACCUGUCUAUUGAUAUCAUUGAUAAAGAUGUGGAAGAGCAGCACUCCCGGUACAGACCUCUGAGGGACAGUCACCACUCGUGACUGGCCUUCAUCUGGACAUAGAGCCACUGACAACAACCCCUUGGCUGCGACCAUCCAGUCGACUCCUUAUCCACCAAAUAGUGCAGCUUUCAAAUCCAUAUUUAUCUAAUUUAGAGGUAAGGAUGUGGUGAAAGACCGCGCCAAAGGCCUUGCACAGACCCAGGUAGAGGACAUCAUUUGCCCUUCAGUUUCUCCACGUGUGCCGGGGCUCUUACCUCAGAGGGGUUGAAGCGCAGGUGGUUGCACAUGAUGUUGUAAUUUUGCCCUUGGGAUUGAAAAUCCUCCACAAAAUUGGCAACGAAUCUCUCCGGGUAACCCAGGUGGAAGAGCUGAUCAGCGGGGAGGGCGGCGGUGAGUUCGUACCUCUCGGUGAAGCGGAACAGGAUGUUGAGGAUGGUGCUGCUGGCGGUCUUGUGGGUCUUGAGGAACAUGACGUUGGUCUUGGCUUGGCAGGGCGUGGGGGACACCAGCAGCUCUGCAGAGCUCCUCUGGAAUCUGCAGGAAGGCAACACAUGGGGAAAACAGCCCCUCCAGAGCCAUACCCCAUCUCUUAGGCCUGGCAGCAUCGGCUUAAAUCAAGGGAGCUAACUCAAGUGUCACAGGUUAUCUCCUCGCUGCCCUGUGUGCGUCAACUCAAGCAACUGGCUGCUUUUGCUUUGCUAAGACUUACAGGUAGUUCCUGCUAUUUGCGUGGAAGAAUCCCAACAGGAAGGCCAGUCCCAGGAACAGGUUGACAAAGAGGACAUUUUUGGUAGUCCUGGAAAGAGAGAAGAAUUUCAGUGAAUGCUAUCUAGAAGACCAUCUUGCCCCAGGUGUGAACCACCAAACUACAUGCUGCCCUCAUGACUUCUGUCACUGCGGCCAUGAUUUCCAUGUGCCAAGCACCAGCUGUGCCAGCAGCUCUGGGAUUUGAGGCAGGACAGAGAGAAAUUGCUAUUUUAUCCUCAUUUUGGCCUACACAAACUGCCUUUUUUGCUUGUUUGUUUGUUUCUGAGGCCCUACAGUUUGUCUGCUUUGAGUUUAUUCUCUUCAAGUGUCUCUCAGCAGCCACUGAGACAUAGAAAAUGAGCACUUUGUUGGAGUUACAGGUGUUUCCUUGGUAAGAAAUCUGAGCGUGCCAUGCACACUUCCUCCCAUCCUAGGCUCUCACGUUUGACUUCACCCACACCUCCUGUGUGCUGUCAUCAGAUUUUGUCCCCUUGACCAUGCUUUAACUUGCCUGGGCUCAGAGCUACAGCCAUGGAUUGGUCACCUCAUCCGCCAGUGCUUUGUCUGGAGAACAAAGAGUUGAGCCUUUCCCAGCACUAAUUAGAUAACCCCCAUGUAUCGUCACCAAUUCAUUCUAACCAGGACAUGGAUAGGCUCUUUGGAAGUUUUGAUGUCCAGCAAACUUAAUCUGACUUCUCUGAUCUUAAAACCUUUCUUAACACGAUUUGAACCCCACGCUUUCAGCCACAGUCUCCAAAAUGCAAUGGAUCUGGCUUUGGGCCCUCCUGCGAGUGAGGGCUGCAGAGCCCUUCCCAAAACCUGGGAAGCACCAAGCUCUGGUGGGAAAUGGCAGCACAACUUCUGCAUGAGGAAUGUCAAAACAUAGACAGGUCUCAGGUUGGGUAUUAAGGAACAUUUCUUCUCAGACAGAGCAGUGAGUAACUGCACGGCUGCACAGGGAGGUGAAGUCACCAUCCCUGGAGGUCUUCAGAGCUGUGGAGGUGUGGCACUGAGGGAUGUGGGCAAUGGGCACGGUGGGCUGGGCUGGGGUUGGACCUGGGGAUCUGAGGAGUCUUUUCCAACCUCAAUGACUUUAUGAUUUUAUCAGUAUUUCUUUACUUUUUGUUCCCAGGGGAUAGAAACGCCUUUCCUUUGAGUGCUCCAUGGGUAGAGUUGAGACUUGGGGAGAAACACAGAGGGACCAACAGCUUGCAUGUGCUGAAUGCACCCUGACCCCUUGCCUUGUUCCUCAGCCUUUCACUUAAGAAUUCAACGCGUGAGAUAAGGCUCCACGUUUGCGCAGGUGUUGUCUGCAAAGUGGAAAGCAGGAGGAUUGCACUCAGAUGGUUUGUCGGGUUGCAAAUGAGUCAAUGUUUGCCUAAAACAUCCUGAGUGUAAGUCAGGUGAGAGAUCACCAUCCCUGUGCAGCAAGAGGGAAAGCUGAACUGACUCUUUAUAACCAACAACCGCAAGCAGAAAUGAUGGGCUAAUUGUCCCCUGGUGGCACUGACCCCCACUUCACUGCCUGGUGGACGCAUGGAUGGCAGGACAGCUGUCUUCAGCUCUUCCAAAGGGACGGAAAGGACAAUGGGACCCUGGAGGGACAGGGCUCUGGAAACCUGGCUGCUAACGGAGGGAAGGAGCAGCCACCGCCCUGAGCAAGCCAUGCAUGGGACUUGGUCAGGAAGCUGCAGUUCUCCAACCAAGUGAUUCCUAAAUCUGAGCACGUUGGACCAACGGACACCACGCACGAUGUUAGCUGAAAUAUCUUUUGAUCUCUUCAAGCAGGACAGGUCCCACUUGUUUGAGUGCAGUUUUGCUGUAUUUGCUGAAGGUGAACUGGGAGAGUUCCGAGCAUUACGGAGCACAUUACAGCAGCCAAAGCAGUAAGCAGGGCUGUUUCAUAACUAUCAGCUCUAUCAGUGGGAGCACGUUGGGCACAAGGCACAGAACUGUGGCUGUGGGUGCAUUCAGAGCACCCCUGUUAACACACACCGAUCGACUGAAGACGCACCGAGCCGAAGUGCAGUACUUGGAUGUGCACUGCAUGCCUUAAGGUGGGACACCCUUUGUUUAUUUGGAUUAAGCUGAAAAUAACACACCCCUAUAAGGAUCCACGUCAACACAAUGAGGUUCUUUCAAAUUAAGAGGCUUGGGAUCCAAGAAGACACACACGCAGCAAAAUUAAUCUCUACCUGGAGCAGCCUGUAACUAACUAUAGGUUGUUAACAACUUAUGUGGAUUAUCUGAGCCGUCUGAACCAGACCUCCUUGCAAACCACUAAUGCUAAUUCAGUGCCCGCAGCGUUCUCCUCCCUCUCCCCUUACCUCGAAGCACACCCAUGGGUUUUCAUGCUGCCGCGAGCUGGAAAGGAUCUCCUCUGCAAAUCAGCUCCCAAACUCCUUUCGUUUACGUCCUCCCACAGCUCUGAGAGUAAGCACCUCUAUUUCUAGCAUCCUACCACUGCUAUAAAUGGCUGGGACAGCACAUCAGCUGCGUGGUGUCCCGUUCAGAAGCUGGCAGAGCCCACCAACCACGGAAAACCAUUUCUUUUCCACUUUUACAACGGAUUCACUGCUCUCUGCUGGACUGCUGUACAAGAGCCAUCUCACCCAUUCAGGUUCGGUUAUGCAGAAAAUGUGUUGCCGAGGGGAAAUACUCAGCUUAGCUGGGGCUGGGUUGCUUUAAGAGCAGAAGCACUGAAGGGCAGCCAGGUGGCACAGCGUUAGCUGGGCCAGGACCCUGCAGGAGCUGCUCCAUCCUCUGAGCUGGGACAGGAGAGAGCCAUGCACUUCUGCACUGCGCUGGGAGAGCCCUGCAGCACUGACUGUGCCCAGGCACUCCUCGUCCUUCCAUUCCUCAUCCUUCCACCGUUUCACUCUGCCCUAGAAAAGUUUGGGACAAGAAAAUCUUGUAACGACUCCGUAUUAAAAGAAUAAUGCACAGAUAUUACAUAUCCACUCUCUCCCUCCUACACACGAUGGUAAACCAUCAUUGGAGAGCACCGAGAACAUCCAACAGACGGCCAAUGCAGUAGCUAUGACCCAGGAGAUAUGCUGGCACACAAGCCCGUGAUACCUUCUCCUGCAGGUUGUUCUGUUGCUGAACUCUGUCCCAGCUGAACUCUGUUGUUCAGCUGGGAUGGUGCAGCCCCUGCCUCAAUCCCUGGCUGCAGCACGGCGUUAUCCGGCAGCCCGACGCCCUCCCCGGCACUUUCCCUGUGUGCAGCUGAAGAAAAGCAGGAUGGAAAGUUCCACGUCCCAAAACGAACCAUUCAUGCACAAAGACUGCAUCUUAACCUCUUAUGGGCAGUGGUUUGUGGAAAAAAAAAAAUAAAAAGACUGGAGCAGGAAAAGGGCAGAGAACAUUAACAGCCCCAUCCGGAAAGAACAGGUUGUAUCGGCUUAGCUUGGCAGAAAGCAAAUCCUGUACGUUUCUUCUUUCCUGCCACCAUGGACUUCCCCUAUUUUUGCAUCAUCUGGUGCACUAAGAGCACAGGCUGGGUGCAUUUUGCCUCCUGAUACGCUCACUCUGCUUAACCCCUUCCUUCCUGCAGCCCCAGACGUUGGGUGGCCGCAGCCACGUUGGGUCCCUAUGCAUGCCUUGCUCCAGGGACACCGCCACGCUCACCGACAGCUGUGUAAAGGCUUUGUUGUUAGGGUAUACCUGAUGGCUGAGCUUCAGUGCCUUGAUGGGAGCGUUCAAGGAGCAUGAGGCCAUUUAGGACCAUAUUGUUUCAAAUGACUGAUGGGGGACACUGGGGUUCCUGCUGCUGGAACGGGGUAACAGCAUCCUGGGGCCUCCUGAACUAACUUCUGGUGAUAGGAGGAUGCGGAGAUGGUCUCAGAGGGCUGUGCAGAGGCCUGACAAAGAUGAUCAGCUCCUCCCUGACAGCUCCUGAGGAAUGAAAGGAGGGGUAUGGUGUGCCUAAAUAUUGACACAGAGGGUUGCACAAUGCUGGGAGUUAUUUCUGUCAAAAACAUCCACGUGGCAAAGCCGAGAGAGUCACGACCUUAGAAUUUCACUGUGAUGUGUGUUACACCAUGGUGCUGCGAGGCAGCCACCAUCCUUAAUUCAAUUCAGCGCCUCGUAGAGUUGAUGCUCCGGUUCAGAACAGAAGGCAGUGGCUCUACAGAAUGUUCUUCUGCUCUGGAUGGAUGCGACUGCGAUGCGCAGAAGUCUCUGCAUUGUGCACUUGGAGUUUGAUGUCCUGUCCCACGUCGCCUGUGCACCCCAAAUAAGCAAACACCUCCUCUGGCUGAUGUCACCUCGCCAUUAAACCAGACCAAACUAGAGGGGAAGAGAGCAGAAGUAUUCACACACAGUACAAGGGGCACAGACAGGACACGGAGCAUGAAUUCCGUACCUUCAGCUGAAGAUCUAGGGGCAGCUCUCAGCCAGGACUCCAGCCGAGGCCUUAGCAGACAGGCAAGAGUUGCUCUGGCCUGGCCACGGAGGAUGUCCUCAGGGUGCAUGGAUGUGUACGAGGACUCCUGAGAAACCAAAACAGCAACAGUGGUGCUGAAGAUCAAAGCCCCAAAUUGCUGUAGCCAAACCCAAGGGCAACCAAAGUCCAUCGCUGACUCACGUUGUAGCCUUGCAGUCACCUCCCUUGUUCUUUCUGCCUCUUCAAGAUCUUACACUCCAGGAUUUGAUGUAAUGUCACCCCCCCAAGCCCAUCAACCAGGAACAAGGAAAGGAUGGACACUGUUUAGUGAUAGUGGGAAGAGGAAGAGCCAUUCUAGGUGAAGAGGCAGCUGCCAGCUCACGGCUCGAAAGAAAGAAGAGGUACUGCAUACUGACUGCAUCAGCUCUGCUGAUGGAUGGAUUCAUAUCCCCCCUCUUGAGCCCCUCCUACAAAGGACCAUGCUGCAGAAUGUGGCAGAACCACUUUCCCUCAGUCCUCUUCAACCCUGUCCAGCAGGAGUGCUGUGUGUGGUUGGGAUCAGAACAGCAAACGGAGCCAAGAGAGUAGCCAGGCCAAGACGUUGGCACCUCAGUACAGGGCUCUGCAAGAUGAGAUGGUGCACAGAUGGACUCCAGCCAAGGCUUUUCCUCAAGGGGAUUCUGGCAAGGCCAGAUUUACCCUCAACCUCCCUGGGCUGUUAGCAGAGGCUCAGAUGAAGAAGUUGUGGUUUUGAUCGAAGUAUAACAACUCCUGAUAACUAUAAAUAGACAAACAGAAAUAAAGACUAUCCCAACCCGCAGACAACGAGAGCUUGGCUCUCCAUUUUUUAAAUUAGCCUUUUCCAUUGCUGUAUUUUUAAAAAACAGGAACAAAAAUCACUUUUGUUGCAGUUCUAAAAUGAUGCCAGAAGCUUCAAAAUGUGAAGAAGUCUUUAUUUUCAGCAGAAUACUCCUUAGAGACAGCAUUAACACCAUUUUAUAAAUUACAAUAGUUCCAAGAUAUUUACAGCAGCGUGAGUAAUCAAAAUAAACAAGUCCUGAUGA